rnacentral:lncRNA from 1 species
GCAUCUGUGCUUAAACCCUAAGCACUAGCACGAGCACUGGCGCUGGCGCUGGCGCUUGGCUCAUCCUAGCCAUGUCUCUGCUUUUCACCUGCUGGCUGGGGGGGGGGGGAGGGGAGGAAAAUUAAAAACAAUUAGGGUGACGGCACAUUUUUUAUAAAUGUUUCUAUCGUAUGAAAAGUGAGGGGGGGCAGCAGGUGUGAGCAUGAGCAAACAUUUCCUGUUUUUAAAAUAUGUGUACACAGCAGAUGUAGAUAAUGUGGGAGGGCUGUGGGUACGCCCCCACCCCCACCCCCGCCCUCUUCAUCUUUUCCCCAGAAGGCCACGCCCUCAAAAACCAACAUAUCGCCACACACCUAUGCCCCAAUUCCCGGACGCUUUCUAAACCUUUCUAUGUGCCAUUACCUUCAGAUAGGAUGCCUGUCCACCAUUUUUCAGUGACCCCCCAAGCGCCUGUAUAGAGACUACGAUGCACGGCGGCUGCACUAGAAUACGAAAUCGAUCUCUUAUGCGCGGCGCUGGACUGCUAAUAUAAGCUAUAUAAUCUCUCUCUAUAUAUAGCAGCUGUGAGAGUCCCAGGGCUAAUAAAAGGAAUUGCGUGCACGGUUUGCCCGAUGAGGCGGCGGCGAAAUCCCACACAUCACCUACUGUAAUACACGCGUCAAGAGUCAGAGAAGGAGACAGCGAAUCUACGAUUAUUAAUAUUAUUAUUAUUGUGUGUGUGUGCCUGUGAUGUGUGCGCGAGAGGGAAAGCCACAUAAUAUACUACAACGACGUGCGCGGCAGAAAAAGCUACAUACAACUCUCCCAGGAAAACGCGCAGCCUGCAGGCUCCUUUUGCCUAUUAUGUUCUUAAAAACCCCGACCAUAACACUUACCGAUGGCUUUACACACGGAGGGGCAGACAACUGCUGCACCGCGACGGCAUCACGAUGCAUCCGCACCAAGCCCGGCAGCUCUUUUCAAAACAUAUCGCCCUGUGCGGAGCAUGAUACAGUUGCAUACAGGGAGUGAGAAAACCACUCAAUUCGAUGGUACGCGCGCACACAGAAUAUCCUUUUGGAUGAUCUCUACUAGCCACGACUUACUGGCCACGAGAGGCGGCGCUGCACUGGAAUACUCCAUCUUUUCCGCGCUUCUGAACUCUUAAGCUAAUUUCUUAACCUCUGUAAUAGCUACACAUACAUGUUGCGCUGAGUGCCAGGUCUUCUAAAAGGCACAGCGCGCGGUUUGUCCGAUGCGGCGGCGAGAUCCACCACACCUGCUAUGUAUCAGAUACCUACGAAAAGAUCUUUGAAUACAUAUAUAAUUAUUGUCAAGCUAUAAUUGUUUGUUCGUGGAUGUGGAACACCUCGCAAGCGAUCGAUAACGUGGGCCAGACCCUUCCCGUCGAACGUACGACAAACGACUUCAUCUUGCCAAACAAAUCCCAAGCGGUUUCAUCAUCAAGAUACACUGCAUAUCAAAUGCGCCAUCCGUGAUAUAUUUUGGAGUACAGCACAAAGAAUGUCACGAGAGGCACUGCCAACGGAUCAAACAACGGCUCGUACAACCAAUCCCAACAACCCGCGAACAAAAUCACAACGCAGCACCACUUUUACAACUCCAUCGCAAAAGCGAAUUUGCUACGUUGUGUGUCAAUAAAACACCACGGAUAUANNNNNNNNNNNNNNNNNNNNNNNNNNNNNNNNNNNNNNNNNNNNNNNNNNACCGUUUUUAGUGACCACCAAGCGCCUGUAUAGAGACUACGAUGCAUGGCGGCUGCACUAGAAUACAAAAUCGAUCUCUUAUGCGCGGUGCUGGACUGCUAAUAUAAGCUAUAUAAUCUCUCUAUUUAUAUAGCAGCUGUGAGAGUCCCAGGGCUAAUAAAAGGAAUUGCGUGCGCGGUUUGCCCGAUGAAGGCGGCGGCAAAAUCCCACCCAUCACCUACUAUUAUUUAUUAUACACGCGUCAGAUGUCAGUGAAGGAGACAGCGAAUCUACGAAAAUCACUUUGAAUGAAUGUUGUUAUAUAGUGAUAUAAAAUUAUUAUUGUGUGUGCCUGUGAUGUGUGCGCGAGAGGGAAGGCCACAUAAUAUACUACAACGGCGUGCGCGGCAGAAAAAGCUAUACACAUCUCUCCCAGGAAAACGCGCUGCCUGCAGGCUCUUUUUGCCUAUUAUGCUCUUAAAAAAACCCCGACCAUAACACUUACCGAUGGCGCUACACACGGCGGAUGUCGGGUAGGCGGACUGCUUAAACCCUAAGCACUAGCACGAGCACUGGCACUGGCGCUGGCGCUUGGCUCGUCCUAGCCAUGUCUCUGCUUUUCACCUGCUGGCUGGGGGGGGGGAGGGGAGGAAAAUUAAAAACAAUUAGGGUGACGGCACAUUUUUUAUAAAAGUUUCUAUCGUAUGAAAAGUGAGGGGGGGCAGCAGGUGUGAGCAUGAGCAAACAUUUCCUGUUUUUAAAAUAUGUGUACACAGCAGAUGUAGAUAAUGUGGGAGGGCUGUGGGUACGCCCCCACCCCCACCCCCGCCCUCUUCAUCUUUUCCCCAGAAGGCCACGCCCUCAAAAACCAACAUAUCGCCACACACCUAUGCCCCAAUUCCCGGACGCUUUCUAAACCUUUCUAUGUGCCAUUACCUUCAGAUAGGAUGCCUGUCCACCAUUUUUCAGUGACCCCCCAAGCGCCUGUAUAGAGACUACGAUGCACGGCGGCUGCACUAGAAUACGAAAUCGAUCUCUUAUGCGCGGCGCUGGACUGCUAAUAUAAGCUAUAUAAUCUCUCUCUAUAUAUAGCAGCUGUGAGAGUCCCAGGGCUAAUAAAAGGAAUUGCGUGCACGGUUUGCCCGAUGAGGCGGCGGCGAAAUCCCACACAUCACCUACUGUAAUACACGCGUCAAGAGUCAGAGAAGGAGACAGCGAAUCUACGAUUAUUAAUAUUAUUAUUAUUGUGUGUGUGUGCCUGUGAUGUGUGCGCGAGAGGGAAAGCCACAUAAUAUACUACAACGACGUGCGCGGCAGAAAAAGCUACAUACAACUCUCCCAGGAAAACGCGCAGCCUGCAGGCUCCUUUUGCCUAUUAUGUUCUUAAAAACCCCGACCAUAACACUUACCGAUGGCUUUACACACGGAGGGGCAGACAACUGCUGCACCGCGACGGCAUCACGAUGCAUCCGCACCAAGCCCGGCAGCUCUUUUCAAAACAUAUCGCC